rnacentral:lncRNA from 1 species
GUUUGUUACGAAGCAACUGAUGUUUAAGAGUUGCGAGGCUUUUCGUAUGCAUCAGAGAUCGCGGUAUGACCCCAUUUGCGGAAGGAAUUCCAAUAAGGCCACACAAUAACGUCAAAAAUCCCGAAAGAAGUAAAUCAUAAUGGUAAGAAGAUGGUUUUCGCAAAUUGAACUCUUUCUGUUGAGAGAGCUGAGAUGCAGCACUAUGAUCGAAGUAGCAAUGGAAUGAGUAACCAUAUUUUUUAUGUUUUAAACUAUUCUCAGAAAACUAAGACACAAUGCCUUGAACAAUACACUUGAAAUGGGAGACAACAUUUGCCCUCAGUUGCAGCUUGUGGAUUUACAAGACAACCAGAUUGCAUACGUAACAGUCGGUUCACAGUACAAAAACACAUUGAUGUGAGACAUUUUUCUUUCUAAUCUGACAUGCUUCGGCUCCGUUUUACCUGACUUAUUCAUUACUUCACUGCAUUUCCUUAUUCUUUUUUCAGGUAAGAUAAAAAAUACAAUGUGAUUACAAUUGCAACUUCUAUGCAGCAGGUGACAGUGAUAUUUAAAUUAUUCAGAUUAGUGCAGAGGAACUUCUCUUAGCAGAGGUGCUACUAUUUUGAUAGCAACUGGAAGUAC